rnacentral:rRNA from 1 species
AUUGAACGCUGGCGGAGUGCUUUACACAUGCAAGUCGAACGGCAGCACGGACUUCGGUCUGGUGGCGAGUGGCGAACGGGUGAGUAAUAUAUCGGAACGUAUCCAAUAAUGGGGGAUAACUAAUCGAAAGGUUGGCUAAUACCGCAUACGUCCUACGGGAGAAAGCUAGGGACCUUCGGGCCUGGCGUUAAUGGAGCGGCCGAUAUCGGAUUAGCUAGUUGGUGAGGUAAAGGCUCACCAAGGCGACGAUCCGUAGCUGGUCUGAGAGGACGACCAGCCACACCGGAACUGAGACACGGUCCAGACUCCUACGGGAGGCAGCAGUGGGGAAUUUUGGACAAUGGGCGAAAGCCUGAUCCAGCCAUUCCGCGUGAGUGAAGAAGGCCUUCGGGUUGUAAAGCUCUUUCGCAAGAGAAGAAAACUUACCCUCUAACAUAGGGUGGGGUUGACGGUAUCUUGAUAAGAAGCACCGGCUAACUACGUGCCAGCAGCCGCCGUAA